rnacentral:rRNA from 1 species
UACGUAGGGGGCAAGCGUUGUCCGGAAUCAUUGGGCGUAAAGAGCGUGUAGGCGGCCCGGUAAGUCCGCUGUGAAAGUCCAGGGCUCAACCCUGGGAUGCCGGUGGAUACUGUCGGGCUCGAGUCCGGAAGAGGAGUGUGGAAUUCCUGGUGUAGCGGUGAAAUGCGCAGAUAUCAGGAGGAACACCAAUGGCGAAGGCAGCACUCUGGGACGUGACUGACGCUGAGACGCGAAAGCGUGGGAGCAAAC